GAAGAACACCACAGGCCCGAAAUGCACAAAGGAGUUGUCAUAAAGCACAAUGCUAACCAGCGCUAUGCUACAAGCGGAGUCGCAUCUUUUCUUUUCAGAGAAAUAGGCAGAAUUCAUAACUUACCAACGCCAGGAUUUUGUAGUGAGAAAUGCCACGGGUUGUGGAUCUACCAUUGGUCCAAUACUUGCUUCUGGAGCUUCCAUCCGUACUGUGGAUUGUGGUAUCCCUCAACUUUCUAUGCGCAGGAAGAUGUAGUAGACACAGCUUACAAGUGUAUUUCAAGGCCUUUUAUGAAACGUUUUCGAGCAUUGACAGAAAGCUGAAGCUGGAUGUUUGAUUGGAGGGAAAGGGAAAGGGAAACAACACAACAGGUAUUUACUACCCAUUUAUGCGUUCUCCUAACAUUUACAUUCGAAAACAAACAUAAAAUGCUACACAUUUUUUAAACUAAGAAAAA